UGACGUCGGUUCCUCCUCCUGACUUCAGUGGAUCAGGAGGAUUUUACGAUGUCGCAGAGAAACUCGAGUCUUUUUCACCCAGAGAGCUUCAGGCUGCAGCCGCACCAACAGCUUCCUGGUUUUGCGAGACUCUAUAAAA